AUAGAAUCUAAGCUUGUACUGAAUAGACAAAUAUCAGGCCUCACCACAAAAAUCUGUUUUAAAGAUGAAUUAAUUAUUAGAGGAAAUUGUAAAGUAUUACGAAAAUGCUCAAAAAGGCUCUGGACUAUCGAGUAAUUACAAAAUCAAUUGCAAACUGAUUAUUUUAUGAAGUCAGUGAACAGUAAAACAGGAAAUAACAAUAAAUAGUUAACAUUUCUUUUCAUAACUCCUAUGCAGGUCUGAGUGGUGUUUAUGACAUCAUGGAUCACUAUCAGCAUGAGAAGACGAGAGGGGUGGAGUUCGUCUCUGCCAUGCACAAAGCCAUGACCGGCGUGGAAAACUUCCCCCUCUACUCCCCAACCUGUGUGGUGAAGACGCUCAGCCAGGAGAAGCUCGACAGACUGCCUCCGUUCGCUUUGAUCCAUGGGGUCGAGGACGUCGUCGUUCCGUUGGAGUCCUCCUCAAAGCUCUCGGAGGUCCUCGCCUCUCGUUCUGCGAAGGUGUCUCUCCACCUGCUUCCUGGAGUCAAUCACACGGACAUCGCCACCGACCUCAUGCUGCCCAACAGGCGGCUCUACCAGCGGAUCUACACGCUGAUCAAGCAGGAGUUGAGGGCCUUUAUGGAAACCUGCUGAAAGCACACAGCAUUUUAGGACGGGAUUUUCAUCAAAUUCACACUAAUGUGUGAAUUAGUUAGGAUAAACCAUUUACCAGAUUUAUGUUUGAAUCUAAAGAGUACAAACCAAUAAUCUGCACUGAAAACGACUUUUCCUAAAAGUCUUUCGUACAGAUUAAUUAAUAGCUAGAAAGAUGGUAAAUAAAUCAAAUGUGUGUGCAGUGUUUUACCUCAGAGACUGAAGAUGAAAAUGUGAAAUCAACCUUGGUGGUUUACACCUAUUAUAAUGAAGUAAAUGCUUUCUUUUAAAGCAAACCUCGGCUCCUAAAAUGGAUGGGAGGUUAAAGAACUGUCUAUAUUUUGUCAAGUUAAACAUGACUUAUAAUUAUUGAAUAAUUAUGAAAAUAAAUUAAAUCAACAACUUAAAAAAUUCCUGAAGCUGCAUUCUUUGAGUUCAGUUUUCUUUUCUCAUCAAAAACUCCAAAGAUUUUAGACUACAAUAGAACAUGACAUUGUGGGGCUAUUACACACCGCUAAAGUUACCUGCUGUUCCUUUUAAAAUGGCUAUUUAUGGGGCUCCAUGAAGGUGUAGUGGUUAGCACACACAUCUCACAGCUGGGUCUUUUCUGUGUGGAGUUUGCAUGUUCUCCUUGUGCAUUAGUGGGUUUUCUCCAGGCUCUCUGGAUUCCUCCCAAAGUCCAAAAACAUGCUUCAUAGGAAAUUUGGUGACUUAAAAGUUUUUCAAUGCAUGCCGCUCCUGUCCUUACCAAACAGUUGCUGGGAGCAGCCCCAUGGGAUUCAGCAGAUUCAGAAAAUGAACUGAUGGAUUACUAUUUGUUCCAUUUUGAUAAUUUAAUUCUAAGAUUUUUUAAUUAUAUUCUCCUCUGUAGUCCUUUUUGACUACAGAAGAAGCAGUCAAGAUUGUGUUGAUUUUUAGAGUUUUGUUGAUAUGGUAUUAACGUCCCACUCCCAUAAUCUUUUGAUCCAGUUUUCAAAGCGUUCUCAGUGCUCUUUUAAUUAUGAUGAUGUCGUUUUUAGCCAAUAAAAAACCCUGCAUCGCUUUGUAGGAUAUGGUUUCUGCAGAGCUGCAGUAGUUCACUGGAAAUGCACUUAUGAGUUGUGGGUAUAGCUGUUGGUGUGGAGCAGGCCCGCCCCUCUUCCCUUCCUUGUUACUGAGAGCUCUGAGCAGGCAGCUGGUGGCCCACCCAGAGUAUUUUCUACGCCACAAAUACGCUCUUCUUCAAACAGCAUACUUGAUUCACAACAAUUUGAAUAAAGGAAUACUCAGAAAUGCAAUU
rnacentral:lncRNA from 1 species